rnacentral:rRNA from 1 species
UACGGAGGGUGCAAGCGUUAAUCGGAAUUACUGGGCGUAAAGCGUGCGUAGGCGGUUCGUUAAGUCUGUUGUGAAAGCCCCGGGCUCAACCUGGGAAUGGCAAUGGAUACUGGCGAGCUAGAGUGUGUCAGAGGAUGGUGGAAUUCCCGGUGUAGCGGUGAAAUGCGUAGAGAUCGGGAGGAACACCAGUGGCGAAGCGGUUGCCUGGAGCUUUGCUGACGCUGAUGCGCGAAAGCGUGGGAGCGA